UACGUAGGGACCAAGCGUUGUUCGGAUUUACUGGGCGUAAAGGGCGCGUAGGCGGCGCUGUAAGUCACUUGUGAAAUCUCCGGGCUUAACUCGGAACGGUCAAGUGAUACUGCAGUGCUAGAGUGCAGAAAGGGCAAUCGGAAUUCUUGGUGUAGCGGUGAAAUGCGUAGAUAUAGGAAGGAACACCAGUGGCGAAGGCGAGUCCCUGGAAAACUCCUAGACACUGAGGCACGAAAGCUAGGGGAGCAAACAGG
rnacentral:rRNA from 1 species